rnacentral:rRNA from 1 species
UGGUGAACAUAGAGCCAUAGCACCACCUGAUUCCAUCCCGAACUCAGAAGUGAAAUGUGGCAUCGCCGAUGGUAGUGUGGGAGUUCCCAUGUGAGAGUAGGACAUCGCC